CCUGAUCCAAAAAUGUGUUAGUGUCAAUUUGCUAUUUUAAUAAUCGAAUCCCUUUCUCACAUGUUGACACCCUAAAUUCCACCCUUCUAGCUAACCUUUCAAUCUCUCUUACGUAAUCUAAUUAAAAAAGUUGGCACUAAAUCACAUAAUCUAUUCUUUAUAAGCUUAAUUCAACACUUACCUAGUUGCCUAAGUUUCCUUCAUCAUAUCAUAUCAUACCAUAUAAUAAAUACACUUUAGCCUCAACAAUAUAUCUCUCUCUCUCUCUCACUCUGCUAUACAAUACAACAACAGAUAAUAUAAAAACAUCUCUUCUUGGGUCUAACAAAUCUCUCUGUAGUUACUGCUCUCACAUAAUAUCACUUUGGAAUUGCUUCAUUUUUACUUCUUUUUGUUCUUUCUGCUUUUGCAGAAAAUAUUCUCUUCAUUGUUGUUAUAUGUAAAACCAAACAUCCAUAAUUUAUGUAAAUUUUUUCUUCUCUUUAUCUUAUCUUGUUUCUCUUCAUGUUCUUACACAACAUUCUCUCGAAUACACACAUGCAUCAUGGUUUAUGAAACUUCAUUCAUUUUUAUGAAAAAAUACUAAUAAUUAAUAUUUUUCUUCCUUGUUCUAAAGUACCUUGUGAAAAAAUAUCAAAUUUUUGUUGCAAAAAUUAAGACCCCAAAACAAAAGAUCUUAACUUUUUGCUAUAUUCAGUGUGAGAGAGAAAAAGGGUCAAUGAUAGGUAGUUUCAUUAUUUAAACAAAGUCUAGUAGAGUUGAGAAAAUUGAAGGGGGUGCAAAAAGAAGAAAAAAAAAUGUCUAAAAAGGCUAUGAUGACAUCAUCAAUGAAGGAUGAAAAUCAAGAAUUGCAGAAGCAAAUUGGAUGUAUCAGUGGAUUUUUCCAGUUGUUUGAUCGUCAUAGGUUCCUCACAAGCCACAACAAUAGUCACAAUAUACCAAAUCAAGGUAUAAUUAAUCUAUAUAUACUAUAUAAUAAUAUCUUUAUUUUUAUUUUUAUGCUAUGUAUUUUGAAAAAUUAAUUUUUGUAUGUUGUGUUAUGUU
rnacentral:lncRNA from 1 species